CAGUCGCCGCGGUAAUACGUAGGGUGCAAGCGUUAAUCGGAAUUACUGGGCGUAAAGCGUGCGCAGGCGGUUAUAUAAGACAGAUGUGAAAUCCCCGGGCUCAACCUGGGAACUGCAUUUGUGACUGUAUAGCUAGAGUACGGCAGAGGGGGAUGGAAUUCUGCGUGUAGCAGUGAAAUGCGUAGAUAUGCGGAGGAACACCGAUGGCGAAGGCAAUCCCCUGGGCCUGUACUGACGCUCAUGCACGAAAGCGUGGGGAGCAAACAGGAUUAGAUACCCCUGUAGUCCCUGUCUCUUAUAC
rnacentral:rRNA from 1 species